UACGUAGGGCGCAAGCGUUGUCCGGAAUUAUUGGGCGUAAAGAGCUCGUAGGCGGUCUGCUACGUCCGCUGUGAAAACCCCAGGGCUUAACCCUGGGCUUGCAGUGGAUACGGGUAGACUAGAGGCAGGUAGGGGAGAAUGGAAUUCCCGGUGUAGCGGUGGAAUGCGUAGAGAUCCGGAAGAACACCAGUGGCGAAGGCGGUUAGCUGGGCAGUUGCUGACACUGAUGCGCGACAGCGUGGGGAGCAAACAGG
rnacentral:rRNA from 1 species